rnacentral:rRNA from 1 species
AUUGAACGCUGGCGGCAGGCCUAACACAUGCAAGUCGAGCGGGGUUUUCGGACCUAGCGGCGGACGGGUGAGUAAUGCGUAGGAAGCUACCCGAUAGAGGGGGAUACCAGUUGGAAACGACUGUUAAUACCGCAUAAUGUCUACGGACCAAAGUGUGGGACCUUCGGGCCACAUGCUAUCGGAUGCGCCUACGUGGGAUUAGCUAGUUGGUGAGGUAAUGGCUCACCAAGGCGACGAUCCCUAGCUGGUUUGAGAGGAUGAUCAGACACACUGGAACUGAGACACGGUCCAGACUCCGACGGGAGGCAGCAGUGGGGAAUAUUGGACAAUGGGCGCAAGCCUGAUCCAGCCAUGCCGCGUGUGUGAAGAAGGCCUUCGGGUUGUAAAGCACUUUCAGUAGGGAGGAAGCGUUGUGUGUUAAUAGUACACAGCGUUGACGUUACCUACAGAAGAAGCACCGGCUAACUCUGUGCCAGCCGCCGCUGUAACAC